rnacentral:rRNA from 1 species
GACGAACGCUGGCGGCGUGCUUAACACAUGCAAGUCGAACGGAAAGGCCCUGCUUUUGUGGGGUGCUCGAGUGGCGAACGGGUGAGUAACACGUGAGUAACCUGCCCUUGACUUUGGGAUAACUUCAGGAAACUGGGGCUAAUACCGGAUAGGAGCUCCUGCUGCAUGGUGGGGGUUGGAAAGUUUCGGCGGUUGGGGAUGGACUCGCGGCUUAUCAGCUUGUUGGUGGGGUAGUGGCUUACCAAGGCUUUGACGGGAAGCCGGCCUGGGAGGGUGACCGGCCACAUUGGGACGGGGAUACGGCCCAGACUCCUACGGGAGGCAGCAGUUGGGAAUAUUGCACAAUGGGCGGAAGCCUGAUGCAGCAACGCCGCGUGCGGGAUGACGGCCUUCGGGUUGUAAACCGCUUUCGCCUGUGACGAAGCGUGAGUGACGGUAAUGGGUAAAGAAGCACCGGCUAACUACGUG